GAUGAACGCUAGCUACAGGCUUAACACAUGCAAGUCGAGGGGCAGCAUGGUCUUAGCUUGCUAAGGCCGAUGGCGACCGGCGCACGGGUGAGUAACACGUAUCCAACCUGCCGUCUACUCUUGGACAGCCUUCUGAAAGGAAGAUUAAUACAAGAUGGCAUCAUGAGUCCGCAUGUUCACAUGAUUAAAGGUAUUCCGGUAGACGAUGGGGAUGCGUUCCAUUAGAUAGUAGGCGGGGUAACGGCCCACUUAGUCUUCGAUGGAUAGGGGUUCUGAGAGGAAGGUCCCCCACAUUGGAACUGAGACACGGUCCAAACUCCUACGGGAGGCAGCAGUGAGGAAUAUUGGUCAAUGGGCGCAGGCCUGAACCAGCCAAGUAGCGUGAAGGAUGACUGCCCUAUGGGUUGUAAACUUCUUUUAUAAAGGAAUAAAGUCGGGUAUGUAUACCCGUUUGCAUGUACUUUAUGAAUAAGGAUCGGCUAACUCCGUG
rnacentral:rRNA from 1 species